AUUGAACGCUGGCGGCAGGCCUAACACAUGCAAGUCGAGCGGGGUUUUCGGACCUAGCGGCGGACGGGUGAGUAAUGCGUAGGAAGCUACCCGAUAGAGGGGGAUACCAGUUGGAAACGACUGUUAAUACCGCAUAAUGUCUACGGACCAAAGUGUGGGACCUUCGGGCCACAUGCUAUCGGAUGCGCCUACGUGGGAUUAGCUAGUUGGGGCGGUAAUGGCUCACCAAGGCGACGAUCCCUAGCUGGUUUGAGAGGAUGAUCAGCCACACUGGAACUGAGACAAGGUCCAGACUCCGACGGGAGGCAGCAGUGGGGAAUAUUGGACAAUGGGCGCAAGCCUGAUCCAGCCAUGCCGCGUGUGUGAAGAAGGCCUUCGGGUUGUAAAGCACUUUCAGCGAGGAGGAAGGGGUGAGUGUUAAUAGUACUCAUCUUUGACGUUACUCGCAGAAGAAGCACCGGCUAACUCUGUGCCAGCCGCCGCAGUAACAC
rnacentral:rRNA from 1 species